rnacentral:rRNA from 1 species
GAUGAACGCUGGCGGCGUGCCUAAUACAUGCAAGUCGAGCGAAGCGGGGACGGGUGAGUAACACGUGGAUAACCUCCUCUAAGACUGGGAUAACUUCGGGAAACCGGAGCUAAACCGGAUACUUAUCGAUGGAUCCGCGCUGCAUUAGCUAGUUGGUAAGGUAACGGCUUACCAAGGCAACGAUCCAUAGCCGACCUGAGAGGGUGAUCGGCCACACGGGAACUGAGACACGGUCCAGACGCCUACGUGAGGCAGCAGUGGGGAAUCUUGCGCAAUGGGCGAAAGCCGGACGGAGCAACGCCGCGUGAGUGAGGAAGGUCUUCGGUUGGUAAAACUCUGUUAUUAGGGAGGCGGUACCUAAUCAGAAAGCCACGGCUAACUACGUGCCAGCAGCCGCGGUAAUAC